UACGUUAGGCAAAAUAAUAGUUGGUGCCCAAUUACUAUUUUAUCAUCUACCCUUUCUAGUUUCUACAAUGAAUAAUCUUCUAUUAUCUUGGAGCAAGGCUGCUUAACUACGCCAGUAUAUUUCAUUGUUGGUGAAAAGCUAUACACGGGCAGCAUGGUAGGAGUUACAAUCAUCAUAGGUCUGUAUCUAUUGCUAUGGGGCAAAGCAAAAGAUCGAGAAGUCAGCAUCACAUAUGAGAAGAAACCAUCUAUGUAUGCCAUCAAGCAGAAUGAACCGAAGAUGCAAAUAGUGACAGUGAUAGAAAGGGAGUCACUGAAUCACUAACUGAAAACUGCAAGGUGGAAAGAAUCCUUAUGAUUCACCUGACAUGAAGGUAUUCAGUUUCAAAGAAAUUACAGCAGCCACAAAUAAUUUUUCAUUUUACAAGAAGCUUGGAGAGGGUGGGUAUGGACCGGUUUAUAAGGGUAAAUUAAAGACAGGGCAGGAAAUAGCAGUAAAGAGACUUUCAAAAGCUUCAAGGUAAGGAUUUGAGCAGUUCAAGAAUGAAGUUAUGCUCACUGCAAAACUUCAGCAUGUAAACUUGGUUAAGGUGCUGGGAUUUUGCGUGGAAAGAGAGGAAAAAAUGCUCAUUUAUGAAUACCUUGCAAUUAGCAGCUUGGAUUUCUACCUUUUUGGUAUAACUUUUGCUUGACUGUGUUCUAUGAUGAUAUAAAAUCUAGCUCACGAACAAAGACAUGAGCACGUACAUAACAUUCUGGCAGCUGAUAGAUUCCUUUCCCCGUCUCUUAGCAGAUCUUGUGGAACGUUUGCAGCUCAAUUGGGGAAAGCGUGCUCACAUCAUCAAAAAGAAUAAUUCAAGGCCUCCUAUACCUGCAAGAAUACUCAAGGCUAACCAUCAUUCACCGAGAUCUAAAAGCCAAUAAUAUUUUACUUGACAAAGAUUGAAAUCCUAAGAUAUCAGACUUUGGCAUGGCAAGAAUAUUCCAAAAGGAUGGAUAUGAAGCAAACACAAGCAGAAUUGUGGGAACAUAAUGAUGGAUAUGUUCCUCCGGAGUACGUGAAACAAGGAGUACACUCCAGAAAACAUGAUGUUUAUAGCUUUGGAGUGCUGCUGCUACAAAUCAUCAGUGGGAAGACGAAUAGCCAAUUCUAAGGUGUUAAUGAAGAAAACCUCUUGGAGUAUGUAAGUAACUGCACGUACCCAGCUAAUUGAUAGAGUGAGCUUAAUUCAUAUAUAUUAUAAAUCCGAGUUUAAGAAUGUAUUUCAAUUUGGAGGAGGUUUACUGUUAUACGGAGGGAGUA